rnacentral:rRNA from 1 species
GUAAUAUAUCGGAACGUGCCUAGUAGCGGGGGAUAACUACUCGAAAGAGUAGCUAAUACCGCAUACGCCCUACGGGGGAAAGGGGGGGAUCGCAAGACCUCUCACUAUUAGAGCGGCCGAUAUCGGAUUAGCUAGUUGGUGGGGUAAAGGCCCACCAAGGCGACGAUCCGUAGCUGGUUUGAGAGGACGACCAGCCACACUGGGACUGAGACACGGCCCAGACUCCUACGGGAGGCAGCAGUGGGGAAUUUUGGACAAUGGGGGAAACCCUGAUCCAGCCAUUCCGCGUGUGCGAUGAAGGCCUUCGGGUUGUAAAGCACUUUUGGCAGGAAAGAAAUCGCACAACUUAACCCCUUGU